AAAUUCGUUGGCUCGAGCGGGAUUUGAACUCGCAUCUUCAGAUGAACUCGCGUCCUCAAAGACAAGCGUUAAGUCGUCACGAAAAUAUUUUGUGCACUUAAAUUGGAUAAGACUCGCUACCAAUCCCUGUUGACUCGAUAGCUCAAUAGGUAGAGCGGCGGUCUAGAUACCCGAAGAUGCGAGUUCAAAUCCCGCUCGAGCCAACGAAUUU
rnacentral:tRNA from 1 species